rnacentral:rRNA from 1 species
AUACGUAGGGGCCAAACGUUGUCCGGAUUUAUUGGGCGUAAAGGGCUCGUAGGCGGUUCAACAAGUCGGUCGUGAAAACCCGGGGCUCAACCCCGGGACGCCGGUCGAAACUGUUGUGACUAGGGUCCGGUAGAGGUGAGUGGAAUUCUCGGUGUAGCGGUGGAAUGCGCAGAUAUCGAGAGGAACACCAGUAGCGAAGGCGGCUCACUGGGCCGGUACCGACGCUGAGGAGCGAAAGCAUGGGGAGCAAACAGGAUUAGAAACCCCAGUAGUCC